ACGGGUGAGUAACGCGUGAGUAACCUGCCUUCAAGAGGGGGAUAACAUUCUGAAAAGAAUGCUAAUACCGCAUGACAUAUCGGAACCACAUGGUUUUGAUAUCAAAGAUUUUAUCGCUUGAAGAUGGACUCGCGUCCGGUUAGUUAGUUGGUGAGGUAACGGCUCACCAAGACCGCGAUCGGUAGCCGGACUGAGAGGUUGAACGGCCACAUUGGGACUGAGACACGGCCCAGACUCCUACGGGAGGCAGCAUG
rnacentral:rRNA from 1 species